UACGUAGGUGGCAAGCGUUGUCCGGAUUUACUGGGUGUAAAGGGCGUGUAGCCGGGCUGACAAGUCAGAUGUGAAAUCCGGGGGCUCAACCCCCGAACUGCAUCUGAAACUGUUGGUCUUGAGUAUCGGAGAGGCAGGCGGAAUUCCUAGUGUAGCGGUGAAAUGCGUAGAUAUUAGGAGGAACACCAGUGGCGAAGGCGGCUUACUGGACUGUAACUGACGUUGAGGCUCGAAAGCGUGGGGAGCAAACAGG
rnacentral:rRNA from 1 species